AGUACUGAGGGGUUUGUGAGGUCCUCACCCUGGCUCCUCGGACCCAUUGGGAUUCAACGAGUGGCCCCUCACUGGGAUCUGCAAGUGGGAUACCAGAGCCAUUUCCCAGACCUCAGGAGACCUGUGGCCUUUUAACCAACCAACUUGUACUACCGAGGAGUGAAAUUACUGGAUUACAUGUUAACCCUAUGUUUAACCUUCUGAGAAACUGCCAGACUGUUUUCCAAAGUGAUGCCACCAUUUCACAUCAAGGUUAUCCUAAGAUCUUCCUGAUCUUGGGUUAAGUGUUGUUCUUUUUGGGUAUGGGCUUGAGGACAGGACUUGGUCGUUCAGCUGGUGCUAGUGCAGGUGUUGGCGUCAAAAAAAGAACCAACUGCCUCGAUGAGCCUAGAAGUGCAGGCGGGGCAUCACUCUGAAGAGCGACAUGAAUGCGGCUCCUGCUGUCCUGUGCCUGCCAGCAGUUCUGCUUCUCUGAUUAACCCUGACUGAUCCAGGCACUAAGAAGAAAACCAAAUUCACCUGUAAUCCAUACCCAGAGAGGACCACUGUCAACAUCUCAAAGUGCAUUCCUUCUGCCUGGAAUGGUUCAGCUGAACGGAAUGAGGCCUGGAGAGGUUCAAGACUGCUCAGGACUCGACUAGGUGGAGGCAGAGAUGGGCCCUCAGAGGCUGGUUUCGCCCCUGCACAUCUGGUAUUGCGUUGACUGCGUCUCAGAGCCCCUGGGUGACCCUGGGCACAAGCUCUGAGCCUGUGAGAGCGGGUUUUGAACACAUUUCCUGGGCUUUGCGGCCACCUGCGUUGACAUCUUCCCCAUUUUGUUCUGACCAAAUUGCAGGAGUUCCACCUUUCUGUUCCUCUGCAGAAAAAAACAAACCACAGUCUUUUAAAACUAGUCAUGCUGUGUCAUCUUCCUCCGCAGAACUGACCGGGAAGUGAUGGCCACCAGGGGGCCAGAGAGAGCCGGGAGGCCUCCUCCCUGCCAAACAGCUCCUCAGACGUCAGUUAGAGAUGUAGUCCUUCGAUUUAGCAUUAUUAGCUCAAGAAUUCUCUUUUAAAAUACAGGUAUUCCAAGAGAGGUUAACACAUGCGAUCCUCAGUCUUUCAGAAGGAAUGAUUCCCCAGCUGCAGUGGUAAGUGAUAUGGUAUCACAAGAGAGCAGGCUGGCCCGAGAGGGGCCAGGGAGAGAAGCCGCCAAAUGCAAAUUUGCAGUUUGGCUGAGACCUCCUGGGCCCUGACUUUUACGAGCCCAGGAGUCAAAGGGCGUUUCUGUUCAAACCUCAGACCUGGGCCUAGGACUCUGCCCCUCGCUUGGAGGGCGGAUCCAUCAGGAGGACAGAUUUGCUUCCCUGAUAAGAAUAGGACCAAAAAAGAAGCAACUGGAGAUGGCGUGGAAAAGAGAUGAGUGAUGAUGAGAAAAAACUGGUGACACACUGUCUCCAGCAUGUCAGUUCUGCCUGGCUGGUUUCUUGAAGAGGAACAAAAAGUGGGUGUUGUCGUUAAGGUUUCUUGCUUUGUUUUCUUCUCUCGUCCAAUGGCUCUAGAUACUGGUGGCCUCUUUCCUGGUAAGCUCCUGUCACUGCCCCCCCCCCCCUUCCGCCGCCCCCAGUAGAGGGGACAUUUACCCCACACGUUGGCUGCUGAGCUGGGAACCUCAGACUGGCAGGGAGGCCACGGCCCAAAGCACAGGAGUGCCCAGGGGUAACAUUAUCCUGCCAGAGCUAAACAAGGAACCGAGUGUUUAGAAUAACUUCAAGAAAGUCGUGGGCGUUUCCUCUGUCAGGGAAACAAGAGACCACAGUGAGAUAAUGGAUGGCUAUAUUCAGGUCACAGAUUAUCAGCUGCCACUGCUGCUUCCUGUUCAGAAUUCUAUGAGGCUCCUUUCUAGUCACUCGAGUCUUGUGGAUUCUGUGAAUGUGACCAGCAUUUCGUGAUGCGGGGCCGGGAGGCGCGGCCUGCAGAUCUGACAUCAAUCAGAGGUGGAGCUGCUCCUUCAGGGUGAGGCAGGCGGGAAGGGCCUGCUCCUGGUGGAGCAGGUGGUGGGUGAGGCGCCCACGGUGAGAAUAACUUUUACUAAACUCUUAGCAUUUUUCAGGUUCUUGGACUAAGGUUUUUGUGCACUCUCUCAUUUGACACUUAAAGUCACCUUACGCCAAAGAGACUGGAACCCUUGUGUGCUGUUGAUAGGAAUGCGAAAUGGUGCAGCCACUCUCAAAAACUGUGGCGGUUUUUCAAAACAUUGAACAUAGAAUUACCGAACGAUCCAGCAACUGAAAUCAGGAUGUCGAAGAGACAGUAGCACUCCUAUGUUCAAUUGCAGCACAAUUGUCACAAUAGUCAAGACGUGGAGACAACCUAGAUGUAGAUGGAAGGAUGAAUGGAUAAAGAAGAUGUGGUAUAUAGAAUAUACUAUAUACAUACAAUGAAAUAUUAUUCAGCCUUUAAAAAGAAGAAAAUCCUAAAAAUAUGCAGCAACACAGUUGAGCCUUGAGGACAUUAUGCUAAGUGAAGUAAGCCAAUCACAGAAAGACAAAUCCUAUAUGACUCUACUCAUAUGAGGUAUCUAAAAGAAACUCAUAGCCCUAGUCAGUUUGGCUCAGUGGAUAGAGCGUCGGCCCUCGGACUGAAGGGUCCCGGGUUCGAUUCCAGUCAAG